CCUACGGGGGGCAGCAGUGGGGAAUAUUGGGCAAUGGAGGCAACUCUGACCCAGCAACGCCGCGUGAAUGAUGAAGGUCUUCGGAUUGUAAAGUUCUUUUCUAAGGGAAGUAGAAAGUGACGGUACCUUAGGAAUAAGCCUCGGCUAACUACGUGCCAGCAGUCGCGGUAAUACGUAGGAGGCAAGCGUUAUCCGGAAUGACUGGGCGUAAAGGGUGCGUAGGUGGUUUGACAAGUUAGUAGCGCAACUCCGGGGCGCAACUUCGGAACUACUGCUAAAACUGUUGGACUUGAGUGGAGGAGGGGCAAGCGGAAUGCCUGGUGUAGCGGUGGAAUGCGUAGAUAUUAGGAGGAACACCAAUGGCGAAGGCAGAUUGCUAGACUGUAACUGACACUGAGGCACGAAAGCGUGGGGAGCAAACAGGAUUAGAUACCCGGGUAGUC
rnacentral:rRNA from 1 species